GCUACGGGAGGCAGCAGUGAGGAAUAUUGGUCAAUGGACGAGAGUCUGAACCAGCCAAGUAGCGUGAAGGAUGACUGCCCUAUGGGUUGUAAACUUCUUUUAUAAAGGAAUAAAACGAGGCACGUGUGCCUUUUUGCAUGUACUUUAUGAAUAAGGAUCGGCUAACUCCGUGCCAGCAGCCGCGGUAAUACGGAGGAUCCGAGCGUUAGCCGGAUUUAUUGGGGUUAAAGGGAGCGUAGAUGGGUUGUUAAGUCCGUUGUGAAAGUUUGCGGCUCAACCGUAAAAUUGCCAUUGAUACUGGCCGUCUUGAGUACAGUUGAGGUAGGCGGACUUCGUGUUGUAGCGCU
rnacentral:rRNA from 1 species